rnacentral:rRNA from 1 species
ACGAACGCUGGCGGCGUGCUUAACCCCUGCAAGUCGAACGGUGAAGCGCCUUCCUUUUUGGUGGGUGUGGAUGAGUGGCGAACGGGUGAGUAACACGUGAGUAACCUGCCCCCUUCUUCUGGAUAACCGCAUGAAAGUGUGGCUAAUACGGGAUAUUCUGGGUCUGUCGCAUGAUGGGUCUGGGAAAGAUAUUGUUUCGGUGGGGGAUGGGCUCGCGGCCUAUCAGCUUGUUGGUGGGGUGAUGGCCUACCAAGGCGGUGACGGGUAGCCGGCCUGAGAGGGUGGACGGUCACACUGGGACUGAGACACGGCCCAGACUCCUACGGGAGGCAGCAGGGGGGAAUAUUGCACAAUGGGCGCAAGCCUGAUGCAGCGACGCCGCGUGAGGGAUGGAGGCCUUCGGGUUGUGAACCUCUUUCGCCAGUGAAGCAGGCCUGCCUCGUUUGUGGGUGGGUUGACGGUAGCUGGAGAAGAAGCGCCGGCUAACUACGUG